GGUAACCCUGCCCAGCAUUACUCAGUUCAAUAGGAAGGAGAAAUUAAAGGCAUCAUGGGUUAAAUUAAAAGUACUGCCACUGUGAUAUCUUUUGUGUUUUUCUUGUGUAGAGCAUUGUUGUAUUCUGACAUGGAGGCCCUAGGAACAUAUAUCUAGGUCCUACAGAAAAGGUGACCACAGGGGCCUAGAACAGUGGUUCUCAACCUGUGGGUCCCGAGGUGUUUUGGCUUACAACUUCCAGAAAUCCCAGCCAGUUUACCAGCUGUUAGGAUUUCUGGGGGUUGCAAGCCACACAUCUGGGGACCAACAGGUUGAGAACCACUGGCCUAGAGAUUCCUUGAAAGAACAGAUUAAUCAAAUCCACAAAUAAUCAAAUCUAAUCCAAUCUGAAAAAGUUAAAUGCAGCAGUGUGGAGGGCCAAUUGCAUCUCAUCUCCUUUCUUCCCUUAAUUCUUUCUAUAGUUUUUCACUCCACAUUGCGUCCAGAAGGAAAAGCACUCUUGGGUCACCCUGGGUUAUUUUGAGCCAAAGUUGUUUUCCUUCUUCACUCCUUCCUGCCUCUCUCACUUCACGACAGAAGCAGGAGAGAAGAGGCCACCAUCAUCAAAGAGAAAGCAUCUGUGGGAGGGAGAAGAAGGAGCUUGUUGUGGCUUCUAUUGCGAUGUGGUUGCUUGGAAAGCUUUGAAAUUUUAACAUCUGAAGUGAAAUAUCUUGGAAGGGGAAAGAAAGAAAACAGCAGCUAUGUCCCUGAGGCCAAUGAGACUAAAGAUAUGGAAGAGCCUGGCAGCUACCUCACCUGCUCUACCCAACUGAACUCUGAACGUGGGGCAGAUCUAGCUGGAAAACAAGACUUUAUGUUCUCUUCAAAGACUGGGGUAUUCAAGAAGUUUGCGGAAUUUUCUGUCUUAUUGCGAAGUAUUUAGGACAUAGUCCAAGGUGAAUCUGAAUUUCCCCUGGAACUGUGAAUGAUGGCACCUUAAUGUAUUUCCUGUAGAGUGCUAUCCCAAAGCAAAGGCACCAUGCAUUAUGUUAAAGAAGUCAUUAAUGUAAUUCUAAAGCAGGCUGCUGUCUGUGAGACUGUCAGCUCUAAAGGAGUGUUUGAAAGGUU